GAGACGCGAACUCCGGCUGUAGCGUGGGGCAGCGGAUCUACACGGUGUGAGGUGUGGGGCUGCAGAAUCCAGGGUGACGGGCCAGAGCUGUCCAGGCAAUACCCCCAGCCUGCAUGGCAAGGCUGAGGGGCAGACACCCAGCACUCAGUUACUGUACUCACAACCGCCACUCCCAGGCAGGAGGCAUCCGGGAGGGCCUCCCGGUGGACGCAACCAGGCCAAGGAAGGGGAAGCCGGCAACAGGAGCAUCGAUAACAGAGCAGAUGGGCCAGGAAAACCCCGUCGUGGGAGGGCUGAGUCCCGGCUGGGGACUUGGCCCCCAUCUGUAGCCUGAGGGGUGCGGUUUUUGCUGUGUGAAUCACGUCACCCCUACAGAAGAGGAACUCUCUACAGUUCAC
rnacentral:lncRNA from 1 species